UACGUAGGGUGCGAGCGUUGUCCGGAAUUAUUGGGCGUAAAGGGCUCGUAGGCGGUUUGUCGCGUCGGGAGUGAAAACCUCGGGCUUAACUCGGGGCUUGCUUUCGAUACGGGCAGACUGGAGGUAUGCAGGGGAGAACGGAAUUCCUGGUGUAGCGGUGAAAUGCGCAGAUAUCGGGAGGAACACCGGUGGCGAAGGCGGCGACCUGGGUAGAUACUGACGCUGAGGCGCGAAAGCGUGGGGAGCAAACAGG
rnacentral:rRNA from 1 species